GCGCCUGCUUUUUUAUCAAAUCAUGCCGAAUGCGUGCACUUUUUCUCUAGUAGGACGUUGCGAUCCGUUGAGUGUAGACUUAAGGCCCGCAUAGGAGCCCAUUCGGUUUGGCUUCGGUCACUCAGUUUGGACGUGUGGUGUCCCGGUCUACUCGCUCGACGGUAUAUAGAUGGCAUAGAGCCGCAUUUAUGCGUUCAGCCUGUGGCAAGCACUUUCCUGCGUUGGCAGUCGGACCUAGCGCCGGCUCUGACCUGGCAAGACUGUUGGCCAUAGUGUUCUUGAACCGACUCUAUUUUUUAAGCCGAUCUGCGACGCUUUAGCUUUGGGUACUUUCAGGACCCGUCUUGAAACACGGACCAAGGAGUCUAGCAUGUGCGCGAGUCAUUGGGUAUUACAAAACCUAAAGGCGAAAUUAAUGUAAAGGUUUGACUUUGUGCAGACUUAGGGAAGAUGGGUGGUUCACAUUAACUGUGGCCGCUCCGCACUCCCGGGGCGUCUCAUUCUCAUUACGAGAAGAGGCGCACCAAGAGCGUACACGCUGGGACCCGAAAGAUGGUGAACUAUGCCUGGUCAGGAC
rnacentral:rRNA from 1 species